GCGGGUGUAGCUCAGUUGGCAGAGCACCACGUUGCCAUCGUGGUUGUCGAGGGUUCGAAUCCCUUCACCCGCUC
rnacentral:tRNA from 1 species